UGGGCCUGGCAUGUUGUUCACGUACCCA
rnacentral:piRNA from 1 species